rnacentral:rRNA from 1 species
CCACACCUAAAACUUUCCACGUGACUCGUUUCACCCAAUAGUUGGGGGUCUUACUUGGCGGCGGCUGCUGGCUUUAUUGCUGGCGGCUACUGGCUGGGCGAGCCCUAUCAAAAGGCGAGCGUUUGGACUUCGGUCUGAGCUAGUAGCUUUUUUAUUUUAAACCCUUUACUUAAUACUGAUUAUACUGUGGGGACGAAAGUCUCUGCUUUUAACUAGAUAGCAACUUUCAGCAGUGGAUGUCUAGGCUCGCACAUCGAUGAAGAACGCUGCGAACUGCGAUACGUAAUGCGAAUUGCAGGAUUCAGUGAGUCAUCGAAAUUUUGAACGCAUAUUGCACUUCCGGGUUAGUCCUGGAAGUAUGCCUGUAUCAGUGUCCGUACAACAACUUGGCUUUCUUCCUUCCGUGUAGUCGGUGGAGGAGAUGCCAGAUGUGAAGUGUCUUGCGGUUGGUUUUCGGACCGACUGCGAGUCCUUUUAAAUGUACUAAACUGUACUUCUCUUUGCUCCAAAAGUGGUGGCAUUGCUGGUUGUGGACGCUGCUAUUGUAGCGAGUUGGCGACCGGUUUGUCUGCUGCGGCGUUAAUGGAGAAAUGCUCGAUUCGUGGUAUGGUUGGCUUCGGCUGAACAAUGCGCUUAUUGGGUGAUUUUCCUGCUGUGGCGUGAUGGACUGGUGAACCAUGGCUCUUUAGCUUGGCAUUUGAAUCGGCUUUGCUGUUGCGAAGUAGAGUGGCGGCUUCGGCUGCCGAGGGUCGAUCCAUUUGGGAAAUG